AAAGACUUUAAAAAAUAUUUUUAAACAUACUACAUUUACAGUCUUUCUAGCACAUACAAUUUACCUGGAAAGCUCAACCUUCUCAGUCUUACACAUCUAAAACUGGUUGGUUGGUUUUGUUUGUUUUACUUCCAUAGUUAAAAACUGUCUCAGUCUUGCACACAGCUGAACAAGCACCUUCUUCAGUAACUGGAUUUGGACCUAAUCCCACAAGUUUUAUGCAGGCACAAAACCUUUAGGCAGAAAGACUGCUUGUAUGAGUAAAUGCCACUAAACCACUGCAGGGCUAAGCCCCUUCUCCCCUCCCCCUGAAAAUGUGCUUACAACAUAGUGACCGCUAUAUGUUACAGAGCCUACUCUUACGAGCUUUGUCUUCAGUGCCUCUUACCUGAACCAUGUAUGACACCAACUCUGUUCCUACAGAAUUUCAUUGGUGACUGGUGUGACUAAAGAAAACAUGCUGUGUAUACUCAAAUCCUGACCCAUUCUGCACACAGGAAGCAACUGUGAUCACCUGAAACCUGAGAGACUGCUCCUGCCUUCAUUUCAAGAUAAUUUGCAUCAUCACAGAUCCUCACAGGAGGCGAGAGGCUCCAUACCAGCUAUGAACUGCCUGCCCGGAGGAGUUUUCCAUCUAUUGGCUCCUUUGUGAAAUCCUAUGAAAUAUGAACUUUCAUUGCUACUCAAGAGAACUUUUACAAUCUUUUCUCCAAUGCUUGAUGAAGGGUGUUUGUGCCUGAAGGCUUGCCAUUAAAGAACUUUUUUUGCAAAAAUCUUGUUGGUCUAAUAAAAGAUAGCAAUCAGGACUCAUAGUAGAGAUGAUUUUACCUCUAGACCAAUACAGCUAUAACCUGGAUACAAGAUACUUAUUUUGCACUCAGACAAGAGAAGCAAGGAACUGUCUUGUAUUCAUUAUGUUUAUGCACUUCCUUUACACUUUUAUUUGUGGAAUCCAAGCCUCGGUUACUCAAUUGCUUGAAGGGAUUUCUAUGCAUGUUGGUUUGUCUAUUCUAGUUGUGUAAGUUUUGAUUUUAUAUGUUCAGGUACCAAUUUUAAUGUCUACCUUUAUUUUUUUUAAGUUAUUGAUUUAUUUUGCUAGACAUUUUCUUAGCCUGCUCUGGCCAAAAAAAUAUGCAUUUGGGGAAAGUUGUAGGAUGUUAAGAAUAUUGUGUUCUCUCUCUCUCUCCCUUUUUUAUUUUUAUUUUGUUCUGACUGCUAGUUCAUGUUGUUAAAAUAAGCCAGAUUCUUAAACAGGCAGUUCCUUUGAUUCCUGCCUGUGCACAUUCAAUUGCCAUUUUAAGAGGGAGCAGGGGGAACAAGGGAAACCAUUUCAGGACCAUUCAACAAACUGUAUAAGGAAAAAAGCAUAUAGUAAUAUGGUAAUACACAUAACCAAAAUCCCUUUCUCUUCCUUCAGUUCCACCUCUGGGCUGUUGGUUGUAUUUAGCUGGUUUUCUGAGAACUCUCUGCAUUUUCCAUCCUGCACUUCUCCUUUUGACCAGCUCAUGGUUGCUGGCUCUUGUGGAUUUUUUCCAUCUAGGCAUUAGUAUAUUUUUAGCCACUUGAGGGACAAUGAUGGGGUGCUGUCCAGGGCUGGGAAGUCCCUUGUUUCCUGCUGGCAGUUCUUUCCCCUUUGCACAGUCUUGCUGCUCAUCCUUUUCACACCAGCUUUUAUCUAUUCUUUGCAACAUCCAAAUAAAUAUUCUUAUUCCUGUGGUGGUCCUUCUCCUCAUCUUGCAUUCCCCUUUCUCCUCAUAGGUUAACAGAGUCCAGCACUCCUUUUCUAGACCUGGCAGCAGCAUGGGACUCACCUGAACUUUCCUUUACCUGGUGCCAUAGUCAUUGUCAGUGAUUCCUCAUGGUCUAGGAUAAUCAUUCCCAUGGGUCAAGUAAAGGAGUGUAGAUAAGUCAGUUGAUGUCUAAGAAGGCCAAUCCUAAAGCCACAAACUCUCUGGCAGACACCACAGGUGAUGGUUAAAGGGGACAGUUAAGCCACAGAUUUCUCGGUCUUGUUUCCUUUCCUUCCAUUUCUGUCAUUUUUUUUCUGCCCCCAGGGCAAGACAGGUUUUCUUCAAAGUAAAAUGUACCUUCUCUCUCAAGGCAUUGCUAUAUAGCUGUGUCCCAGGCUAGUUUUUCCCAGUUUCUGGUGUCAGUGCAACACUUCUUAAUGUUCACCAGGAGAGGGUGUCCUUGGCACCCACGUGUCCUUUUUCCUUGGCUGAGUUGGGAGUAUAGCAGUUGUUCUGGUAAACAUACAUCAGGCAUGAGCACAUAAUGCCCUGUCCACCACAGCUGAUGUUGAGUAAUCAAUGCUUCCAUGCUGGUGGUCUUAGUGUCGGUGAGCACACUGGAAUUUAUACAAUGAUCCUCCAACUUUAUGCAGAGGUAAUGCUGGUGAAGGUUGCCCUGAACAACCUUGUAGGUCAGCCAAGCUUCACAGCGAUAGAGAAGAGUUGGGGUUGCCACAGCCUUGUAUAAUAGGAGUUUGUUUUAGUGCUGGUGUCAUGAUCAUUGAACACACAAUGAUACAGUUUUCUGAGGGCAGAGCUGGCACCCUAGAUCCUAUAUUGCAGGGGUUCUCAAUCCUCAGGCCGUGGCCCACUGCUGGUCUGCGGUACGGUCAGCUGCCAGACUAGAAGUGGCCACAGACCGACAAACCGCAGCCCCCCCCAGAGCCGGGUGGUUUGGCCACGGCUUCCUCCACAGGGCCCACUGUAGGGCAGGGUUUGGCCCACCCAGGGGAUGAGGGUAUCCUUACCUGUCUUCUGGCCAGAAAUUCUGGCCAUACUCAGCUGCAACUGCUGGACCCUGGUUUGCCAGCCCAUGGCCACUUCUGAGCUGUGGUUUACUGGGCCAUGGCAUAAAAACUUUGGGAACCCCUGCUAUAUUGGAUCUCCUCAUUGAUGUUGCCCUUCUUUAAGAGAUGGCUGCUGAGGUAUACAAAGUGUUCAACGUUCUCCAGCUCCUGUCCAUCAGUAAGGAUUUUCGCCGUGGGAGUUGACUGGUAGAAUAGGCUGCUGAAACUUUGUUUUUCUGACAUUAAGAGUCAGUCCUAGGCACUGAUAUGCUUGAAAGAAGCAGUUAAGGGCUGUUUGUGGGUCCCUCUCUGUAUGUGCAAUGACAGCACAAUCAUUGGUAUACUGAAGUUCCACAGUUGAGGCUGAUGUAACCUUAGUUUCCACAUGGGCCUGGGAAAGACUGAAAAGCUUCCCAUCCAUGUACACGGUGCUGAUGCCAUGUAACAGAUAGCCAUGGAUGAGCAUCUUGAUGACCGCAAGGAAGAUGGAACACGGAAUUGGUUUAAUUAUGUAGCCCUGCUUGAUACUAAUUCGAACAGCGAAGGGCUUCAUAGCAGAGCCACUGCAUAAGAUGGAAGCAAUCAUCUGGUCAUCAGAUCUUCCAUAGAGCUUUAUGGUUAACAGAGUUGAAUGCUUUCUUCAAAUUGAUAAAUGCCAUAUACCUUUUCUGGUGUUCUUCUUGGCAUUUUUCCUGGAUCUCCCAAGCUACAAAAAUCAUGUCCAUGGUGUCUCUUGAUGGUCUGAAGCCACAUUGAGACUCGUGAAGGAUUUCCUAGGCAAGAGGGAGCAGUUGGUUCAGCAGAAUUCAAGCUAGGAUCUUGCCAGUGAUGAAGAGGAGGAGGAUACCUUGAUAGUUUUUCCACAGUCAGAUUUAUCUCCCUUUUUAAAAAUGGUGACAGUAUUGGCAUUCCUUGGGUCACUGAAAAUUUCCCCAAUGUUCCAGAUUUUAAGAAACAGUGUGUGGAGUUCGUUGGUCAUACCUUCCCCACCUACUUUUGAAGACCUCAGCUGGUAUGCAUCUGGGUGAGAUGCUUUGUUCUUCAUCUGUCUUAUUGCCUGGUGGACUUUAGAUGUUGGUGGAGUGGCAAGUGCUUCCCUUACUGGAUGCUGUGGGAUAGAUUUGAUGGUUUCAUCAGUCACCUUUGAAUCUCGGGUCAGGAGCUUUUGAUAGUGUUCUUUCCAGUGGUUUUUGAUGGACUUACUGUCUUUGAGUGUACUGCCGUCUUCAGAUCUAAGCAGGGUGAGCCUGCAAGAAUUUGGUCUGUACACACAUUCUUGAUUGCACUGAAGAAUCUCUGCAUGUCAUAAUUGUCAACAAAUUGUUGGAUUUCUUUCGCCUUAUCUUCCCACCAUUUCUUUUUGAUUUCUCUAAUCUUUCUCUGGACUUUACCUUUAAGCCAUCAAAAAGUUCCUUGCUGCUGACUAGAUGGUUUUGCCAGUCACAGAAAACUUUUCUCUUCUGCUUUGAGAAGGGCUUUGAUCUCAGCAUUUUUUUUUUUCAUCAAACCAGCCCUGAUGGCAUUGGGUGAUAAAGCCAAUGGAUUCUGUGCAAGCCUUUUGAAUGGUUUCUUUUAGAGCUUGCCAAUCUUCCUGAAAAUAAAUGUUAUCAUUUUCAAUCCUA